rnacentral:rRNA from 1 species
GGGUUGUGAGGUUAAGCGACUAAGCGUACACGGUGGAUGCCCUGGCAGUCAGAGGCGAUGAAGGACGUGCUAAUCUGCGAUAAGCGUCGGUAAGGUGAUAUGAACCGUUAUAACCGGCGAUUUCCGAAUGGGGAAACCCAGUGUGAUUCGUCACACUAUCAUUAACUGAAUCCAUAGGUUAAUGAGGCGAACCGGGGGAACUGAAACAUCUAAGUACCCCGAGGAAAAGAAAUCAACCGAGAUUCCCCCAGUAGCGGCGAGCGAACGGGGAGCAGCCCAGAGCCUGAAUCAGUGUGUGUGUUAGUGGAAGCGUCUGGAAAGGCGCGCGAUACAGGGUGACAGCCCCGUACACAAAAAUGCACAUAUUGUGAGCUCGAUGAGUAGGGCGGGACACGUGGUAUCCUGUCUGAAUAUGGGGGGACCAUCCUCCAAGGCUAAAUACUCCUGACUGACCGAUAGUGAACCAGUACCGUGAGGGAAAGGCGAAAAGAACCCCGGCGAGGGGAGUGAAAAAGAACCUGAAACCGUGUACGUACAAGCAGUGGGAGCCUCUUUAUGGGGUGACUGCGUACCUUUUGUAUAAUGGGUCAGCGACUUAUAUUCUGUAGCAAGGUUAACCGAAUAGGGGAGCCGAAGGGAAACCGAGUCUUAACUGGGCGUUAAGUUGCAGGGUAUAGACCCGAAACCCGGUGAUCUAGCCAUGGGCAGGUUGAAGGUUGGGUAACACUAACUGGAGGACCGAACCGACUAAUGUUGAAAAAUUAGCGGAUGACUUGUGGCUGGGGGUGAAAGGCCAAUCAAACCGGGAGAUAGCUGGUUCUCCCCGAAAGCUAUUUAGGUAGCGCCUCGUGAAUUCAUCUCCGGGGGUAGAGCACUGUUUCGGCAAGGGGGUCAUCCCGACUUACCAACCCGAUGCAAACUGCGAAUACCGGAGAAUGUUAUCACGGGAGACACACGGCGGGUGCUAACGUCCGUCGUGAAGAGGGAAACAACCCAGAUCGCCAGCUAAGGUCCCAAAGUCAUGGUUAAGUGGGAAACGAUGUGGGAAGGCCCAGACAGCCAGGAUGUUGGCUUAGAAGCAGCCAUCAUUUAAAGAAAGCGUAAUAGCUCACUGGUCGAGUCGGCCUGCGCGGAAGAUGUAACGGGGCUAAACCAUGCACCGAAGCUGCGACAGCGACGCUUAUGCGUUGUUGGGUAGGGGAGCGUUCUGUAAGCCUGUGAAGGUGUGCUGUGAGGCAUGCUGGAGGUAUCAGAAGUGCGAAUGCUGACAUAAGUAACGAUAAAGCGGGUGAAAAGCCCGCUCGCCGGAAGACCAAGGGUUCCUGUCCAACGUUAAUCGGGGCAGGGUGAGUCGACCCCUAAGGCGAGGCCGAAAGGCGUAGUCGAUGGGAAACAGGUUAAUAUUCCUGUACUUGGUGUUACUGCGAAGGGGGGACGGAGAAGGCUAUGUUGGCCGGGUGACGGUUGUCCCGGUUUAAGCGUGUAGGCUGGUUUUCCAGGCAAAUCCGGAAAAUCAAGGCUGAGGCGUGAUGACGAGGCACUACGGUGCUGAAGCAACAAAUGCCCUGCUUCCAGGAAAAGCCUCUAAGCAUCAGGUAACAUCAAAUCGUACCCCAAACCGACACAGGUGGUCAGGUAGAGAAUACCAAGGCGCUUGAGAGAACUCGGGUGAAGGAACUAGGCAAAAUGGUGCCGUAACUUCGGGAGAAGGCACGCUGAUAUGUAGGUGAAGUCCCUCGCGGAUGGAGCUGAAAUCAGUCGAAGAUACCAGCUGGCUGCAACUGUUUAUUAAAAACACAGCACUGUGCAAACACGAAAGUGGACGUAUACGGUGUGACGCCUGCCCGGUGCCGGAAGGUUAAUUGAUGGGGUCAGCGCAAGCGAAGCUCUUGAUCGAAGCCCCGGUAAACGGCGGCCGUAACUAUAACGGUCCUAAGGUAGCGAAAUUCCUUGUCGGGUAAGUUCCGACCUGCACGAAUGGCGUAAUGAUGGUCAGGCUGUCUCCACCCGAGACUCAGUGAAAUUGAACUCGCUGUGAAGAUGCAGUGUACCCGCGGCAAGACGGAAAGACCCCGUGAACCUUUACUAUAGCUUGACACUGAACAUUGAGCCUUGAUGUGUAGGAUAGGUGGGAGGCUUUGAAGUGUGGACGCCAGUCUGCAUGGAGCCGGCCUUGAAAUACCACCCUUUAAUGUUUGAUGUUCUAACGUUGACCCGUGAUCCGGGUUGCGGACAGUGUCUGGUGGGUAGUUUGACUGGGGCGGUCUCCUCCUAAAGAGUAACGGAGGAGCACGAAGGUUGGCUAAUCCUGGUCGGACAUCAGGAGGUUAGUGCAAUGGCAUAAGCCAGCUUGACUGCGAGCGUGACGGCGCGAGCAGGUGCGAAAGCAGGUCAUAGUGAUCCGGUGGUUCUGAAUGGAAGGGCCAUCGCUCAACGGAUAAAAGGUACUCCGGGGAUAACAGGCUGAUACCGCCCAAGAGUUCAUAUCGACGGCGGUGUUUGGCACCUCGAUGUCGGCUCAUCACAUCCUGGGGCUGAAGUAGGUCCCAAGGGUAUGGCUGUUCGCCAUUUAAAGUGGUACGCGAGCUGGGUUUAGAACGUCGUGAGACAGUUCGGUCCCUAUCUGCCGUGGGCGCUGGAGAACUGAGGGGGGCUGCUCCUAGUACGAGAGGACCGGAGUGGACGCAUCACUGGUGUUCGGGUUGUCAUGCCAAUGGCACUGCCCGGUAGCUAAAUGCGGAAGAGAUAAGUGCUGAAAGCAUCUAAGCACGAAACUUGCCCCGAGAUGAGUUCUCCCUGACUCCUUGAGAGUCCUGAAGGAACGUUGAAGACGACGACGUUGAUAGGCCGGGUGUGUAAGCGCAGCGAUGCGUUGAGCUAACCGGUACUAAUGAACCGUGAGGCUUAACCUUACAACGCCGAAGCUGUU